rnacentral:rRNA from 1 species
GACGAACGCUGGCGGCGUGCUUAACACAUGCAAGUAGGACGAUGAAGCCGGAGCUUGCUCUGGUGAAUUAGUGGCGAACGGGUGAGUAACACGUGAGUAACCUGCCCUUGACUCUGGGAUAACUGCGGGAAACUGUAGCUAAUACCGGAUACGACCCUCGGAGGCAUCUCCUGGGGGUGGAAAGAAUUUCGGUCAAGGAUGGACUCGCGGCCUAUCAGCUAGUUGGUGAGGUAAAGGCUCACCAAGGCGACGACGGGUAGCCGGCCUGAGAGGGUGACCGGCCACACUGGGACUGAGACACGGCCCAGACUCCUACGGGAGGCAGCAGUGGGGAAUAUUGCACAAUGGGCGCAAGCCUGAUGCAGCAACGCCGCGUGAGGGAUGACGGCCUUCGGGUUGUAAACCUCUUUUAGCAGGGAAGAAGCGAAAGUGACGGUACCUGCAGAAAAAGCACCGGCUAACUACGUGCCAGCCGCCGCGGUAA